UACGGAGGGAGCUAGCGUUGUUCGGAAUUACUGGGCGUAAAGCGCACGUAGGCGGCUUUGUAAGUUAGAGGUGAAAGCCUGGAGCUUAACUCCAGAACUGCCUUUAAGACUGCAUCGCUUGAAUCCAGGAGAGGUGAGUGGAAUUCCGAGUGUAGAGGUGAAAUUCGUAGAUAUUCGGAAGAACACCAGUGGCGAAGGCGGCUCACUGGACUGGUAUUGACGCUGAGGUGCGUAAGCGUGGGGAGCAAACAGG
rnacentral:rRNA from 1 species